rnacentral:ncRNA from 7 species
UGGAAGACUAGUGAUUUUGUUGUG